AUUGAACGCUGGCGGCAUGCCUUACACAUGCAAGUCGAACGGUAACGGGCCUUCGGGUGCCGACGAGUGGCGAACGGGUGAGUAAUACAUCGGAACGUGCCCGAUCGUGGGGGAUAACGAGGCGAAAGCUUUGCUAAUACCGCAUACGAUCUACGGAUGAAAGCAGGGGACCGCAAGGCCUUGCGCGGACGGAGCGGCCGAUGGCAGAUUAGGUAGUUGGUGGGAUAAAAGCUUACCAAGCCGACGAUCUGUAGCUGGUCUGAGAGGAUGAUCAGCCACACUGGGACUGAGACACGGCCCAGACUCCUACGGGAGGCAGCAGUGGGGAAUUUUGGACAAAGGGCGCAAGCCUGAUCCAGCCAUGCCGCGUGCAGGAUGAAGGCCCUCGGGUUGUAAACUGCUUUUGUACGGAACGAAAAGCCUUCUUUUAAUACAGGAGGGUCAUGACGGUACCGUAAGAAUAAGCACCGGCUAACUACGUG
rnacentral:rRNA from 1 species